rnacentral:rRNA from 1 species
CCUACGGGGGGCAGCAGUCGAGAAUCAUUCACAAUGGGGGAAACCCUGAUGGUGCGACGCCGCGUGGGGGAAUGAAGGUCUUCGGAUUGUAAACCCCUGUCAUGUGGGAGCAAAUUAAAAAGAUAGUACCACAAGAGGAAGAGACGGCUAACUCUGUGCCAGCAGCCGCGGUAAUACAGAGGUCUCAAGCGUUGUUCGGAAUCACUGGGCGUAAGGCGUGCGUAGGCUGUUUCGUAAGUCGUGUGUGAAAGGCGCGGGCUCAACCCGCGGACGGCACAUGAUACUGCGAGACUAGAGUAAUGGAGGGGGAACCGGAAUUCUCGGUGGAGCAGUGAAAUGCGUAGAUAUCGCGAGGAACACUCGUGGCGAAGGCGGGUUCCUGGACAUUAACUGACGCUGAGGCACGAAGGCCAGGGGAGCGAAAGGGAUUAGAUACCCGGGUAGUC